UACUCUAUGCUGUUACCACAGUGGUGGUUAACAUUGCUGCUUUUCUUUUCUGUACGUUAGAUAAUGAAGUUGAUGGAGAAGCCGUUGAUUACGGCUUGACUGAGAGGAUGGUUGCAUCCCUUUUCGAAGGAUCCUUUAAGAAGCAAACACAAUUUUUUAGAUUCGUUCAGCAGUGGAAAGAAACCGUGACACUAACCCUUGAGCCUGUCCCGGUAGGCCUACAGUCAGAGAAGGUUACAGUGGAAUCAAGUCAUGACAUCCCAUCAUCAGCCUUCCCAGCAGUUUUUAGCAUUCCUAAAUUUCCCAGAGAUGUUCAGACAAAGUUGGACCAAAAACCGUCAUGCAAAAUUGAGAGAUCCGAUCACAACAAAAUCAUAAGAACAAUGUAUGAAACCAUGGCCCUGAUCAAAAUGUUUCCGACGAAUGAUGACUGUGUAAAAGUGUGCAAGGCCCUGAUUUUGAAGUACCCUUUCUUAUAGGACAAAGAAGGCAAUGGUUAUCAUACCUGGCACAUGUCUCUCAAAUGGAAGUUUAAAUAUGAGUGGGUACCACUGGUAGAUGAUGAAGAGGUGAUAAGAAUGAAAUUGAAAUUUGGUCAUCACAAAAAGCCUUCGCAACAGGAAGAAAACACAAGCAAACGAGCCAAGACAUCAAAGGAGGUGGAUAUUAUUGGGGAGGAUGAUACCUCAAUAGCGAGCCAUGUGAAAGUCCUGCAGGACCAGUACCAGAAGACACAGCCAGAUCCCCAAAUAGUGGAGGAACGGAUGAUGAGGACAUUUGCUUGGAGAAGGCAAGAGAUUGCCAAUGGGAUGACUGUUGAAGAAGCCAUUAACAAAUAUCCAUUCCUUAAGAGUCCAUGCGGGCUAUUUCAGGAAAUGGGCCGGCUUCAUGAUAAAAUGAAUAUCUGCCGAAGAUUUGAAGAUGGCUUUAAAAUCCUAGUACCCACAGUGCUUAAAUUGACACAAAGGAAAUAUCCCCUUGCAGAUCUAGCUUUGGAGGAAAGAGAGGCUGCCCUAACUGAAGA